rnacentral:rRNA from 1 species
UAAAUACUUAAACAGAUAUUACCCGAAAAUAAAAGAUCUAAGAGUAUUUUAAGAUAUUGGACUAUUUUGUUGUAUGCUGUAGCAAUAGUUUUUAAAAUUAUACCUUAGGGGUGAAAGGCCUUCAAUUUUAUUGAUAACUGGAUGAAUGUUAAAUAUAUUUAGUUUAAAAUAAACUUACAAAGUGAUAAGAUUUUGUAAGAUAUAAUUUUUUGUGUUUUUAUUAACGCCAAUAGUUAACAAUUACCGGCGGUUUUGAAUAAAUUAAAUACUACUACAAUACAAUAAUUAUUAAACAACAUUUUAUUUUACUUAACCAACUCUUAGUAAAAUUAAUAAUGUAUAAAUAAGUAUAUAUAAUAUAAAUUUAGAUUAAGGAACUCGGCAACUAUUGUGUACGACUGUUUAACAAAAACAUAGUCGGUAGCUAUUAAAUUACCGGUGAUACCUGCCCAGUGAUAUUUUAACGGCCGCAGUACUUUGACUGUGCAAAGGUAGCAUAAUCAUUUGGCUUUUAAUUGAAGUCUAGUAUGAAAGGAUAAACGUACACAAACUGUCUCAAUAAUAAAUUUAUUAAAAUUAUUUAUAAGGUGAAAAUACCUUAAAUAUGAAAAAAAGACGAGAAGACCCUUAGAAUUUUAAGAAGAUCCAUGUUAACACUUGGUAUGAUUUUUGUUGGGGCAACAUUUUUUCAGGUUAAUAAAAACUAACUAUAAAUAUACAACGAAUAAGUUUAAUAAAGUAUAAAUUACCUAAGGGAUAACAGCAUAAUUUUAAGUAAAGAUUGUGACCUCGAUGUUGGACUAGGAACUAUUAAGGCUAGUCGUUUUAAUAUAAUAGGUUCUGUUCGAACUUUGUUUCCUA